rnacentral:misc_RNA from 1 species
AAGUCGUAACAAGGUUUCCGUAGGUGAACCUGCGGAAGGAUCAUUACCGAGAGGGGCUCCGCGCCCCAGGUGGCUUCGGCCACCGCAUCUCAACCCCGUGGCUAUGUUCCAGAUCGGAAGAUCGGUACAAAGUACGUUGCUUCGGUGGGGAAAGCCCCCGCCGGCCGCCCAUCAAAACCCUUUUAUUGGUGCAGUCUGAGUACAAAUCAUAAUAAAGAAAAACUUUCAACAACGGAUCUCUUGGUUCUG